rnacentral:lncRNA from 1 species
CAACAUUCCCUAAUUUUUCCUUCUCUCUCAAAUGAUUCCGCUCCUUGCUAAGGCAAAUACGGAACUCCUCUCCAUCUAAUCACAAUUGAGUUACUCCUUAGCAAUCUCCAGUACUUAUAUUCCGCGGGCACAAGAAAAUAAUUUGAAAGCUUCAUAAUAUCCUUGAGCAGCUGGGAUUAAGUUGCAGAAUAGUAAGAAAUUAUAAGCAAUCAAGUGAAAGGUAUGUGAAUUAUUUUACUAAGUUUUGUUAGCUAUGAUGUUAGUAUUGAGCAAAGUGAUUGUGAAUUAGAACAAAACAGUUGGUUAUAAAACAAAACAAAAACUGUUAGUUUAUUGGUUGUUUGAGUAUUCAUGUUUUGUUUGUGAAAUUGACUGCUAUGAAUUUAAUUUAGGCACAAAGAGAUAAGUGGGCUGUGGAGUAAUAAGGAGAAUAAUAUGAGUUUAUAAUAUAAACCUAUGGCUAUGAAUCUAGUAACACAAAACUGUGCACACUACGUGUUUGUUAAAAGUCCCAAGUGGACUGUAUUGAUUAGAAAUCAAUUACUAGAUAAAAUCAAAAACUGGGACAAAGUGGUAUGCUAUAUGAGUUUAUAAUCAGAGUAAAUAAGCAUGCUAGUUUGAAAUGAAACUCAAUUAUAGCCAAAGGAAAAACAGAGUAUGUCAAUGCUCAUGUAAGUGCUGUUUUGUGCAGUCAACUGAAACUGAAAUGGAAGUGCUUCAAUUUCUACAAAUAUUAUUAUUAUAUGAUAGAUGUAAUAUAUCUAAAAAGGAUAUAGAUGAACAUUUGAAUUGAAGCAACAAACUAGGGAAAUAGGCACAUAGCUGCUGCCUAUGGCAGCAGCAGUAUCAGUGAUAUGGUUUAGGUGAGAGUUUGUUUUAAGUUUUCAAUCGGCAAGCUUAGUGGUUUAAAUAACUUAGUUACUAUUUUAUUCAAGUUGGUAACUAUAUUACCUAUAUUAUCUCCAAAAUUGUAGUAUAUUAACUACAAGUUAGAAAUUGGUUGAAGGGCAGAGCAUGGCAGCAGCAGCAGUUUGCAACAGCCAUCAACCAAGAGAUAGUGGGUGUGGGUUGUGGCUGCAAGACAACUACAGCCAUAGCUAAUAAGUGCACUAAAGGAAUAAGCUACUGCUGUAUAGCAGCCAUGAACAACAAGUAGUAACGAGUCCCAACUUAUAGAGAUUUGAGCUGGGUAUAUGAUGGCUACAUAUUAGUUUAUAAAAGUAGUGAAGAAUUGUUUAUAAAUCUUUAACAAACAAUCCCAUGAGUUAUAAAAAAAAAAACUAAUUAAGAAAUGGGAUAGAAUAGCUGACUUGGACAGCUGCAGAACAAUGGCUGGGCUGGGGGGCUUUCAUUUGAGCAAUUCGACGGUAUAGUUGAAUGGUUUUACGAAUUUAAUUAGCAUUCUAUUUAAAUAGGAAGUAUGUAAACUUCUAUGCUUUCAAAGAAUGGCAUAAUAAGGUGUGUAAUUGGAGCUAAUUAUCGAGCAAGGGGGAGGCAAGCUGCUGCACAUUUGCAGCAACAGUUGUUAGCUAACUGCUAAUGCAGUGUAAAGCCACACUAAAAUUUAUUAAAUCCCACAAAGUCAAACAUAAGUGACUAAUAGCAUAAAAAAAUGCUAAGAAACUGUUAGUAUAUUUAAGUGAGCUACUUAACUCACUUAGUUAAAUAGAGGAAACAAAAGGAUAAUUAACAAGCAAAAUUUAACCUCAAUAGUAAGAGGUUGCUAAGCCAACUAAAUUACGCGAGAGAAUUGUUAAAGCAUCUAUAAAGGCUGCAAGAUAUAUUUAGCCAAAGAGGGUUAUUUUGACAUAACUAAGAAACGCUAUAAGUCGAAUGAAUAAUUUGACAAUAUAAUUUGCAAAGCAGAUUGGGAACUAAAAGUUCUACCCUUAUGAUAAACAAUCAUACUUAAUACAUGAAAUAUCUUACGUAUUCACCUUGAAUACCUAAGUUAUAAAGAAGAUUGCAAAGUAUACUCAUGGCAAGAAAGAAGAAAAAGGAAUAUAAACUAAAGUCAUGAAAAUUCAUGAACAUGGAUUAUGUCAGACCCUAUAAAAGAAAGAAAAGGCUAUUGUAAGAACAUGGAUGAGGUAUUUGAAAAAUGUAUAGAAAUAUCUCAAGCAUAAACUAAAAACAUUAUCACUAUGAGGUUUUUGACUUCUCCUUGGCCUUCAGUAUACACCUUGGGUACAUGGGCGUCAUCUCCCUUUGUGACUUGUUCAUAAAAAGAAACUUUCAAUAAGAAAAGGGUGUAUGAUAGAUUUGAAUGUGGCUUCGAAGGAAAUAAUGCAGACGUUUGGCUUUUCGAUAUUUGGAUUUGAUUAAUUAUUCAAUGCAUAUCUACUAUUAAAUACAGUGUUGUUUUGGAUGGUGAAAAACUUGAUGCCUUCUGUCCUAACAAAGGAUUGGGUGGGUAAAUACCUUUUCUGUACUUGUUCAAUAUGUUUCCUGAAAGUCUAUCCUUUGAUAAACUGGGCGGUAGAUAGUUUAUGGUUCCUCAUGUUAAAAUUUGAGUUAAACAAGUGGAUAACUCAUCAUAAUAGACAAUGAGAUUAAAGACUGGAAAAGUCCACUGAUUUGUAAGUGUUUCCCCAAGAAGUGACUCAAGAUACUUUAGUUGGCCCGUGCUCUUGGAUUUUGACAGGAAGCUCCUUGAGUUCUGCCAAGGAAAUGAAGUGGUAACUUUGCAAGAGAGACUCGGUGUCUCAACAACAUUGGAAGUUGCUACUAGUGGGAGACUAUGAAGAAGAAUGCCUAUUGAUUGAUGGUCCCCUAUCUAUACUGAGGAGGUUUCUUAUUGUGAAGAGGGUGUAGAGAAGCAUGAUAAAAAGUAAGGUGAAGAGGGGGUUUCUUAGUCAAGUGCUGCAUAGAUGGAAGAAUUCAACUAUGAAGCCACAAUCAUACAAAUUUUCAGCAUGGUUGUGUAUUGAAAGAAGUCACAGAAAUUAGCUAAGGAAUGGGAAGAUGCUUGAGACAUGGGAAGACUUUGCUCUCUAUUUCCGUAAUAAUGGUAGUUUAUCCACGUUAGCUCUCAAGCUUUCCUGUUUUUUUUCAUAAACCAUAAUCUCCAUUAUUGCAUACUAAUUUAUCUCGGCUUUAUCUCUUGACUGAUUUCUAGUGUUAAGGGUUGCAUGGUACCAGUUGCUGCAAAUACAUAUUCAUUUAUUUGGUUGGUCAUGUUUAUGACCUGCCUUUCAUGGUUUUUUCAGGAUAUAUUGAACUGAAGAACAUAGGAUCCUGUAAUGACUUUUCGUCAAAAAUGGAGUCAUGAAAAUAAUGAGGUAUACACCUGGUAAAUUCCCUCUGAAUCAAUUGCCUGAAUAAAUUUGUCUGGAAUGUGUUAGAUGUAUUGAAGUAUGAUGCAAUGUUCUGGAUUGUGAUUAGGGCGUCUGUCUGCUGAUAAAUUUGAUGAGUCAUUAGUCUUAGGCUGUUGGUCACUUGUCCUUCGUCAUGUGCCAUCAGGCAUAGGGCUAUGGGUCGAACGAUGAAUGCCCAACACGUGGCGGCUCAUUGUUUACAGGAAAAUUUGCUGGCCUUUCUUCAUCUUCUCAUGUAGAGUCCUCCAAACUAUUAUUCUUCCAUUGAACAAAUAUUUGAACAAUUGAUGGCGCCUUUCUUCUGUUAACAUGUCAUUCCAUAGUCUAAUUCAACUUGUAUAACAUUUAUUCUGUUAUAAUUGACAGUCUUGCUCUGUUAUUUUCAGUAUUCUUUUGCUCAACUAAGUAAAUUUUAUUAAAGAAAGAACAAUUACUCUUCAAACUUACAUUGCAAUUUCGUAAGAUUAUCAGUUAAUAUCUCCACCAUACUCCUAUCCACAUACCCCUUGCAAUAUCUCCUUCUUCUAGAUUCUUUUCAAAAGCAAGGGAAUCACUUGCACCAUUAAUUUAAAAAAUUAAGAAAAGAAAAAAAGCGACUCUAAAUAAGUUGAUUGAUACUUAAUUUUGUCAAACAUGAAUGGCUAUAAUAGGGAUACUAUGUGGUUAGUCUGAUCAAUCCAUUUGAGAUAACCAUAGUUUCUAUUUGGAGCAUCUUUAUCGACCUCUAAACUCGGAAUAAAACUCCUCCUAUUUGCUAGUGAAUUCUAGAAUGCUAGGUUCUACGCUGAUCUUCGUUCUUCUCGCUUGAACCUCUAGGAUUGCCUGAUAUAUAGUUUUAUCAUCUCCUACAUUGGUUGCAGAACUUGCUCUAUGAGGAAAUAUGGCAAAUGAGGGGUAAUUGAGGUUUGUGUGCUUUCGGUUGCAACUCCAGUUAUUUCGCCCUCCCUAGGACAGAACUCACUUGCCUUUUAGUAUAGUUGAGACCACACAAGAACUUAACGUAAUCUUGGGAAUCCAUGUCGUAUAUCAAUCCAGGCUAUAUUUCUUUGUUCGGAUUGACAUGGCCUGCCCCAAAAUCAAGAGGAGUGGUAAAAAGUCAUGUCCCUUGGUCUUUAAGAAUCGCGUGUGUAUUGCCUGUGGUAAUUGCGGUGGUCAUCAAAGUUGAUCGGAUGGCUGCAGGAUUCUAGUCAUGGUGAACUGCUUUCAACAGUGUUGUUACCCCUGCAACAGAGGGGGAUUUCCGUCAUCUGUGCUGCUGGAAAUUUUGGACCAGAUGCUUACUCAAUAGUCAAUGGAGCACCAUGGAUUACAACAGUAGGAGCUGGCACUAUUGAUCGGGAAUUUGUGGCAACGCUGCAACUGGGAAAUGGGGAAACUGUGGAAGGAAUAUCAUAUUUUCCAGAGAGCGUUUACAUCACCAAUUCACCUCUAUAUUAUGGGAAAAGCAAUGUAAACAAAUCAAUAUGCAGAGCUUCAGCGCUAGAUCCAAAAGAGGUUGCUGGAAAGGUUACCUUAUGUGAUACUAGCACUACUCUUGGUAUUGACCAGCAGAUCGAUGAAAUUGUCAGGGCAGGUGCAUAUGCCGAAAUAUUAUUGACGGACACAUUGACAACUUUAAAAGAAGAUGCUGACUCAUCCAUAUUCUCAUCCAUUCCCCCAAUGCUUCUGCAGAUCAGCACAAAACCUGCACAAGAAAUUGUCAGGGCAAAAGAGGUUGCUGAAAACCUGUACAAAACCUGCAUGGAGGGAAUGUACGAGAAUAUGAUGAGUCAACAUAUGCUUCUAAAGUUGCCAAUGUGUUCGUCAGUAAUAUUCCGACAUAUGCACGACAAUUUCAUCGAUCUGCUGGUCAAUAUCAAGAGUAGUGCUAGUAUCACAUAAGACCACCUUUCCAGCAACUUCUUUUGGAUCUAGCGUUGAACCUCUGCAUAUUGAUUUGUUUACAUUCCUUUUCCCAUAAUAUAGAGGUGAAUUGGUGAUGUAAAUGCUCUCUGGAAAGUAUGAUAUUCCUUCCACAGUUUCCCCAUUUCCCAGUUGUAGCGUUGCCUCAAAUUCCCGAUCAAUAGUGCCAGCUCCUACUGUUGUAAUCCAUGGUGCUCCAUUGACUAUUGAGUAAACAUCUGGUCCAAAAUUUCCAGCAGCACAGAUUAUGGAAAUCCCCCUCUGUCGCUGAAAGUACUGCAAUGGCUAUGACAUCCUUGAAAUAAGGUGCCCGCCUGAAGCCCAAAGACAAGGACAAGAUAUCUACCCCGUCCACAAUUGAUUGGUUCAUUGUAGCCAGUAAGUCGCUUGCAGCAAUGUUGCGAAGUGUGUCUGUCCAGCCAACCUUGUACAUGGCAAUACGUGCUCUUAGUGCCACCCUUUUGGUUGUCCCACUGGCGUAACCAAAAUGACUCGCACCGUGUACAUAAAUACCUGCAGCUAUAGAUGAUGUGUGAGUUCCAUGUCUACAGAAAUCUCGUGCUGAUUCGAAGUCACGGUCCUCGGAGAUUCUUCUACCUGCAGCUACAAGUCCUUUGUUAAAAGAUCAAGCUCCAAUCAGUUUCCUGUUGCAGAGAGAAUGGGUAAAAGUUGUACCAUUCCCACACAUCCCUUUCCAUCUAACUGGAACCGGUUACAUCCCCUUGUCCCUAAAGCUCUAACUUUCUGGCCAUAUUCCCGUGUCGACCCAAUGAUCACGUUUUUGCCGUAAGAUGCAGUAGGCCAUAUGUCAGCGGUAUGACUUAGGCCAAGAAACUUAGGCAAGUGGAUUGUGAAGAGCUUCCCGAAGGACUCUUCAUAUGUCGCCAAAUUAGAAGGGAGCUUCUCCAGCUGAGAUAGUUGAGAAGGCGUGAGCCGUGCACUAAACCCAUGCAUGACAUGGCCGUAUGAGUAGACCAACUUCUCUUUGUCAUCGAAGCGAUAUGGUGGAAACGACUGUAGGAUGUUUUGGUGCCAUAACUCUUCAGUUGUAAAAAUUUCUGGUUUGUGGGAAUGGUCCAUGUGUAUGAUGUAAGUUUGGUAUUCUUCAGGUUUGGGCGACACUUUGUUGAGCCCAGGUAACAAGAACAAUACUAGGUAGAAAAUUAUUGUGCUGCGUAAAAUGUUUCCUAUCUCGUUGAAAUGGAUUUGUUUAGCCAUGGUAGCUAUAGCAAUGAAAUGAAGUGGGAAUGUGGGAUAGUUUUUUCAACUUGCAGAUUUAUCCUACUUAUAUAGUGGAGUCGGGAGUGUGAGCACAAUGGAAUCCAAUAUAUGUGUAUAUAUAAAUACAUAUUUGUGGGGACCCUUUAGGAUUUAUGCUCAUGAUGACAGAUUUUUAUUUGAUUUUCCUCUCAAUAAGUUUGUCAUUUAAUGACCUUAAAUAUGAAACUGAUCCUAAAUUUGGUAUUGUUCUGUGUUCUACGUAUUCUGACCAUGCUAAAUUUUUUUUGCUACAGCAUACAAGUCUAGAGACUUUCCCUUUCCCUUUUUGAUAUUAUAGUAAUGGUUUCCACUUUCCCUUUUUGAUAUCAUAUCAAUAACAUCAUAAUGUUUAUUUUAUAAUAUAUUUUAGAUUUAUAAUAUCGAGUUCCCUCCAUGCUUCUGCAGAUCCGCACAAAACCUGCACAAGAAAUUGUCAGGGCAAAAGAGGUUGCAGGAGAGCCUGCACAAAACCUGCAUGGAGGGAAUGUAUAAGAAUAUGAUGAGUCAGCAUCUGCUUCUAAAGUUGCCAAUGUGUCCGUCAGUAAUAUUCCGGCAUAUGCACGAUAAUUUCAUCGCUCUGCUGGUGAAUAUCAAGAGUAGUGCUAGUAUCACAUAGGACCACCUUUCCAGCAACCUCUUUUGGAUCCAGCGCUGAACCUCUGCAUAUUGAUUUGUUUACCUUGCUUUUCCCAUAAUAUAGAGGUGAAUUGGUGAUGUAAAUGCUCUCUGGAAAGUAUGAUAUUCCUUCCACAGUUUCCCCAUUUCCCAGUUGCAGCGUUGACACAAAUUCCCGAUCAAUAGUGCCAGCUCCUACUGUUGUAAUCCAUGGUGCUCCAUUGACUAUUGAGUAAGCAUCUGAUCCAAAGUUUCUAGCAGCACAGAUGACGAAAAUUCCCCUCUCUGUCGCCAAAAGUGCUGCAAUGGCUAUGACAUCCUUGAAAUAAGGUGCCAGCCCAAGGACCAAAGACAAGGACAAGAUAUCUACCCCGUCCACAAUUGAUUGGUCCAUGGUAGCCAGUAAGUCGCUCGCAGCAAUGUUGCGAAGUGUGUCUGCCCAGCCAACCUUGUACAUGGCAAUACGUGCUCUUGGUGCCACCCCUUUGGCUGUCCCACUGGCGUAACCAAAAUGACUCGCACCGUGUACAUAAUUACCUGCAGCUGUAGAUGAUGUGUGAGUUCCAUGUCUAGAGAAAUCUCGUGCUGAUUCGAAGUCACGGUUCUUGGAGAUUCUUCCACCUGCAUCCAUAAGUACUUUGCUAAAAGAUCGAGCUCCAAUCAGCAUCAUGUUGCAGAGAGAAUGGGUAAAAGUUGUACCAUUCUCACACGUCCCUUUCCAUCUAACUGGAACCGGUGACAUCCCCUUGUCCUUAAAGCUCUCAUUUUCAGGCCAUAUUCUUGUGUCGACCAUAUGAUCACGUUUUUGCCGUAAAAUGCAGUAGGUCAUAUGCCAGCGGUAUGACUUAGGCUAAGAAACUUAGGCGAGUGGGUUGUGAAGAGCUUCCCUAAGGAUUUCAUAUGUCGCCAAAUGAGAAGGGAGCUUCUCCAGCUGAGAUAGUUAAGAUGGCGUGAGCCGUGCACUAAACCCAUGCAUGGCAUGGCUGUAGGAGUAGACCAACUUCUCUUUUUCAUCGGAGCGAUAUGGUGGCAACGACUGUGGGAUGUUUUGGUGCCAUAACUCUUCAGUUGUAAAAAUUUCUGGUUUGUGGGAAUGGUCCAUGUGUAUGAUGUAAGUUUGGUAUUCUUCAAGUUUGGAUGACACUUUGUUGAGCUCAGGUAACAAGAACAACAAUAGGUAGAAAAUUAUUGUGCGGCGUAAAAAGUUUCCUAUCUCGUUGAAAUGGAUUUGUUUAGCUAUGGUAGCUAUAGCAAUGAAAUGAAAUGAAGUUUCCUAUCUCGUUGAAAUCCCCCUCUCUGUCGCUGAAAGUGCUGCAAUGGCUAUGACAUCCUUGAAAUAAGGUUCCGCCCAAGGCCCAAAGACAAGGACAAGAUAUCUACCCCGUCCACAAUUGAUUGGUCCAUGGCAGCCAGUAAGUCGCUCGCAACAAUGUUGUGAAGUGUGUCUGCCCAGCCAACCUUGUACAUGGUAAUACGUGCUCUUGGUGCCACCCUUUUGGCUGUCCCAAAUGCGUAACCAAAAUGACUCGCACCGUGUACCUAAUUACCUGCAACUGUAAAUGAUGUGUGAGUUCCAUGUCCAGAGAAAUCUCGUGCUGAUUCGAAGUCACGAUCCUUGGAGAUUCUUCCACCUGCAGCCACAAGUACUUUGCUAAAAGAUCGAGCUCCAAUCAACUUCCUGUUGCAGAGAGAAUGGGUAAAAGCUGUAUCAUUCUCACACAUCCCUUUCCAUCUAGCUGGAACCAGUGACAUCCCCUUGUCCUUAAAGCUCUCACUUUCAGGCCAUAUUCCUGUGUCGACCCUAUGAUCACGUUUUUGCCGUAAAAUGCAGUAGGUCAUAUGCCAACGAUAUGACUUAGGCCAAGAAACUUAGGCGAGUGGGUUGUGAAGAGCUUUCCGAAGGACUCUUCAUAUGUCGCCAAAUGAGAAGGGAGCUUCUCCAGCUGAGAUAGUUGAAACGGCGUGAGCCGUGCACUAAACCCAUGCAUGACAUGGCUGUAUGAGUAGACCAACUUCUCUUUGUUAUCGGAGCGAUAUGGUGGCAACGACUGUAGGAUGUUUUGGUGCCAUAAUUCUUCAGUUGCAAAAAUUUUUGGUUUGUGGGAAUGGUCCAUAUGUAUGAUGUAAGUUUGGUAUUCUUCAGGUUUGGAUGACACUUUUUUGAGCCCAGGUAACAAGAACAACACUAGGUAGAAAAUUAUUGUGUGGCGUAAAAAGUUUCCUAUCUCGUUGAAAUGGAUUUGUUUAGCCAUGGUAGUUAUAGCAAUGGAAUGAAGUGGGAAUGUGGGAUAGUUUUUUCAACUUGCAGAUUUAUCCUACUUAUAUAGUGCAGUCAGGAGUGUGAGCACAUUGGAAUCCAAUAUAUGUGUAUAUAUAAAUACAUAUUUGUGGUGACCCUUUAGGAUUUAUGCUCAUGAUUUUGACAGCCAACAGAUUUUUAUUUGAUUUUCCUCUCAAUAAGUUUGUCAUUUAAUGACUUUAAAUAUGAAAUCGAUCCUAAAUUUGGUAUUGUUCUGUGUUCUACGUAUUCUGACCAUUCUAAAUUUAUUUUGUUACAACAUACAAGUCUAGAGACUUUCCGUUACCCUUUUUGAUAUUAUAGUAACGGUUUCCAAUUUCCAUUUUUGAUAUCAUAUCAAUAACAUCAUAAUGUUUAUUUUAUUAUAUAUUUUAGAUUUAAAAUAUGGGGUUCCCUCCAUGCUUCUGCAGAUCAGCACAGAACCUGCACAAGAAAUUGUCCGGGCAAAAGAGGUUGCUGGAAAAUCUGCACAAAACCUACAUAAAGGGAAUGUAUAAGAAUAUGAUGAGUCAGCAUCUGCUUCUAAAGUUGUCAAUGUGUCCGUCAGUAAUAUUCCGGCAUAUGCACGACAAUUUCAUCGAUCUGCUGGUCAAUAUCAAGAGUAGUGUUAGUAUCACAUAGGACCAUCUUUCCAGCAACCUCUUUUGGAUCCAGCGUUGAACCUCUGCAUAUUGAUUUGUUUACCUUGCUUUUCCCAUAAUAUAAAGGUGAAUUGGUGAUGUAAAUGCUCUCUGGAAAGUAUGAUAUUCCUUCCACAGUUUUCCCAUUUCUCAGUUGCAGCGUUGACACAAAUUCCCGUUCAAUAGUGCCAGUUCCUACUGUUGUAAUCUAUGGUGCUCCAUUGACUAUUGAGUAAGCAUCUGGUCCAAAAUUUUCAGCAGCACAGAUGACGGAAAUCUCCCUCUCUAUCGCUGAAAAUGCUGCAAUGGCUAUGACAUCCUUGAAAUAAGGUGCCCGCCCAAGGCCCAAAGACAAGGACAAGAUAUCUAUCCCGUCCACAAUUGAUUGGUCUAUGGCAGCCAGUAAGUCGCUCGCAACAAUGUUGCGAAGUGUGUCUGCCCAGCCAACCUUGUACCUGGCAAUACGUGCUUUUGGUGCCACCCCUUUGGUUGUCCCAUUAGCGUAACCAAAAUGACUCGUACCGUGUACAUAAUUACCUGCAGCUGUAGAUGAUGUGUGAGUUCCAUGUCCAGAGAAAUCUCGUGCUGAUUCGAAGUCACGGUCCUUGGAGAUUCUUCCACUUGCAGCCACAAGUCAUUUGCUAAAAGAUCGAGCUCCAAUCAGCUUCCUGUUGCAGAAAGAAUGGGUAAAAGCUGUAACAUUCUCACAUGUCCCUUUCCAUCUAGCUGGAACCUGUGACAUCCCUUUGUCCUUAAAGCUCUCACUUUUCAGGCCAUAUUCCUGUGUCGACCCUAUGAUCACGUUUUUGCCGUAAAAUGUAGUAGGUCAUAUGCCAACGGUAUGACUUAGGCCAAGAAACUUAAGCGAGUGGAUUGUGAAGAGCUUCCCGAAGGAGUCUUCAUAUGUUGCCAAAUAAGAAGGGAGCUUCUCCAGCUGAGAUAGUUGAGACGACAUGAGCCAUGCACGAAACCCAUGCAUGGCAUAGCUGUAUGACUAGACCAACUUCUCUUUGUCAUCGGAGCGAUAUGGUGGCAACGACUGUAGGAAGUUUUGGUGUCAUAACUCUUCAGUUGUAAAAAUUUCUGGUUUGUGGGAAUGGUCCAUGUGUAUGAUGUAAGUUUGGUAUUCUUCAGGUUUAGACGACACAUUGUUGUGCCCAAGUAACAAGAACAACACUAGGUAGAAAAUUAUUGUGCAGCGUAAAAAGUUUCGUAUCCCGUUGAAAUGGAUUUGUUUAGCCAUGGUAGCUAUAGCAAUGAAAUGAAGUGGGAAUGUGGGAUAGUUUUUUCAACUUGCAGAUUUAUCCUACUUAUAUAGUGGAGUCAGGAGUGUGAGCACAUUGGAAUCCAAUAUAUGUGUAUAUAUAAAUACAUAUUUGUGGGGACCCUUUAGGAUUUAUGCUUAUGAUUUUAACUGCUAACAUAUUUUUAUUUGAUUUUCCUCUCAAUAAGUUUGUAAUUUAAUGACCUUAAAUAUGAAACCGAUCCUAAAUUUGGUAUUGUUUUGUGUUUUACGUAUUCUGACCAUGCUAAAUUUAUUUUGCUACAGUAUAUAAGUCUAAAGACUUUCCCUUUCCCUUAUUGAUAUUAUAGUAAUGAUUUCCACUUUCCCUUUUUGAUAUCAUAUCAAUAACAUCAUAAUGUUUAUUUUAUAAUAUAUUUUAGAUUUAUAAUAUCAAGUUCCCUCAAUGCUUCUGCAGAUCAGCACAAAACCUUCACAAGAAAUUGUCAGGGCAAAAGAGGUUGCUGGAAAACCUGCACGAAACCUGCAUGGAGGGAAUGUAUAAGAAUAUGAUGAGUCAGCAAUUACUUCUAAAGUUGCCAAUGUGUCCGUCAGUAAUAUUCCGUCCCUUUCCAUCUCGCUGGAACAAGUGACAUCCCCUUGUCCCUAAAGCUCUCACUUUCUGGCCAUAUUCUUGUGUCGACUAACCCUAUGAUCACGUUUUUGCCGUAAGAUGCAGUAGGCCAAAUGCCAACGGUAUGACUUAGGCCAAGAAACUUAGGCGACGAGUGGAUUGUGUAGAGCUUCCCGAAGGACUCUUCAUAUGUCGCCAAAUAAGAAGGGAGCUUCUCCAGCUGAGAUAGUUGAGAUGGCGUGAGCCGUGCACUAAACCCAUGCAUGGCAUGGCUGUAUGAGUAGAGUAACUUCUUUUUGUCAUCGGAGCGAUAUGGCGGCAGCGACUGUAGGAUGAUUUGGUGCCAUAACUCUUCUGUUAUAAAAAUUUCUGGUUUGUGGGAAUGGUCAAUAUGUAUGAUGUAAGUUUGGUAUUCUUCAGGUUUGGACGACACUUUGUUGAGCCCAGGUAACAAGAACAACACUAGGUAGAAAAUUAUUGUGUGGCGUAAAGAGUUUCUUAUCUCGUUGAAAUGGAUUUGUUUAGCCAUGGUAGCUAUAGUAAUGAAAUGAAGUGGGAAUGUGGGAUAGUUUUUUCAACUUGCAAAUUUAUUCUACUUAUAUAGUGGAAUCAGGAGUGUGAGCACAUUGGAAUCCAAUAUAUGUGUAUAUAUAAAUACAUAUUUGUGGGGACCCUUUAGGAUUUAUGCUUAUGAUUUUAACUGCUAACAUAUUUUUAUUUGAUUUUCCUCUCAAUAAGUUUGUAAUUUAAUGACCUUAAAUAUGAAACCGAUCCUAAAUUUGGUAUUGUUCUGUGUUCUACGUAUUCUGACCAUGCUAAAUUUAUUUUGCUACAGCAUACAAGUCUAAAGAAUUUCCCUUUCCCUUUUUGAUAUUAUAGUAAUGGUUUCCACUUUCCCUUUUUGAUAUCAUAUUAAUAACAUCAUAAUGUUUAUUUUAUAAUAUAUUUUAGAUUUAUAAUAUCGAGUUCCCUCCAUGCUUCUGCAGAUCACCACAAAACCUGCACAAGAAAUUGUCAGGGCAAAAGAGGUUGCUGAAAAACCUGCACAAAACCUGCAUAGUGGGAAAGUAUAAGAAUAUGAUGAGUCAGCAUCUGCUUCUAAAGUUGCCAAUGUGUCCGUCAAUAAUAUUUCGGCAUAUGCACGAUAAUUUCAUCGAUCUGCUGGUCAAUAUCAAGGGUAGUGCUAGUAUCACAUAGGACCACCUUUCCAGCAACCUCUUUUGGAUCCAGCGCUGAACUUCUAUAUAUUGAUUUGUUUACCUUGCUUUUCCCAUAAUAUAGAGGUGAAUUGGUGAUGUAAAUGCUCUCUAGAAAGUAUGAUAUUCCUUCCACAGUUUUCCCAUUUUCCAGUUGCAGCGUUGACACAAAUUUUCGAUCAAUAGUGCCAGCUCCUAAUGUUGUAAUCCAUGGUGCUCCAUUGACUAUUGAGUAAGCAACUGGUCCAAAAUUUCCAGCAGCACAGAUGACGGAAAUCCCCCUCUCUGUCGCUGAAAGUUCUGCAAUGGCUAUGACAUCCUUGAAAUAAGGUUCCCGCCCAAGGCCCAAAGACAAGGACAAGAUAUCUACCCCGUCCACAAUUGAUUGGUCCAUGGCAGCCAGUAAGUCGCUUGCAACAAUGUUGUGAAGUGUGUCUGCCCAGCCAACCUUGUACAUGGUAAUACGUGCUCUUGGUGCCACCCUUUUGGCUGUCCCAAUUGCGUAACCAAAAUGACUCGCACCGUGUACCUAAUUACCUGCAACUGUAAAUGAUGUGUGAGUUCCAUGUCCAGAGAAAACUCGUGCUAAUUCGAAGUCACGGCCCUUGGAGAUUCUUCCACCUGCAGCCACAAGUACUUUGCUAAAAGAUCGAGCUCCAAUCAGCUUCCUGUUGCAGAGAGAAUGGGUAAAAGCUGUAUCAUUCUCACUCGUCCCUUUUCAUCUAACUGGAACCGGUGACAUCCCCUUAUCCUUAAAGCUCUCACUUUCAGGCCUUAUUCCUGUGUCAACCCUAUGAUCACGUUUUUGCCGUAAAAUGCAGUAGGUCAUAUGCCAGCGGUAUGACUUAGGCCAAGAAACUUAGGCGAGUGGGUUGCGAAAAGCUUCCCGAAGGACUCUUCAUAUGUCGCUAAAUGAGAAGGGGGCUUCUUCUGCUGAGAUAGUUUAGACGGCGUGAGCCGUGCACUAAACCCAUGCAUGGCAUGGCUGUAUGAGUAGACCAACUUCUCUUUGUCAUCGGAGCGAUAUGGUGGCAACGACUGUAGGAUGUUUUGGUGCCAUAACUCUUCAGUUGAAAAAAUUUCUGGUUUGUGGGAAUGGUCCAUGUGUAUGAUGUAAGUUUGGUAUUAUUCAGGUUUGGACGACACUUUGUUGAGCCUAGGUAACAAGAACAACACUAGGUAGAAAAUUAUUGUGCCGCGUAAAAAGUUUCCUAUCUUGUUGAAAUGGAUUUGUUUAGCCAUCGUAGCUAUAACAAUGAAAUAAAAUGAAAUUUCCUAUCUCAUUGAAAUCCCCCCUGUCGCGGAAAGUGCUGCAAUGGCUAUGACAUCCUUGAAAUAAGGUACCCGCCCAAGGCCUAAAAACAAGGACAAGAUAUAUAUCCCGUCCACAAUUGAUUGGUCCAUGGCAGCUAGUAAGUCGCUCGCAGCAAUGUUGCAAAGUGUGUCUGCCUAGCCAACCUUGUACAUGGCAAUACGUCCUCUUGGUGCCACCCCUUUGGUUGUCGCACUGGCGUAACCAAAAUGACUCGCACCGUGUACAUAAUUACCUGCAGCUAUAGAUGAUGUGUGAGUUCCAUGUCCAGAGAAAUCUCGUGCUGAUUCGAAGUCACGGUUCUUGGAGAUUCUUCCACCUGCAGCCACAAGUCCUGUGCUAAAAGAUCGAGCUCCAAUCAGCUUCAUGUUGCAAAGAGAAUGGGUAAAAGCUGUACCAUUCUCACAUAUCCCUUUCCAUCUCGCUGGAACCAGUGACAUCCCCUUGUCCCUAAAGCUAUCACUUUCUGGCCAUAUUCUUGUGUCGACUAACCCUAUGAUCACGUUUUUGCUAUAAGAUGCAGUAGGCCAAAUGCCAACGGUAUGACUUAGGCCAAGAAACUUAGGCAACGAGUGGGUUGUGAAGUGCUUCCCGAAGGACUCUUCAUAUGUCGCCAAAUUAGAAGGGAGCUUCUCCAGCUGAGAUAGUUGAGACGGCGUGAGCCGUGCUCUAAACCCAUGCAUGGCAUUGGCUGUAUGAGUAGACCAACUUCUCUUUGUCAUCGGAGCGAUAGUUGUACCUGUAGGAUGUUUUGGUGCCAUAACUCUUCAGUUUUAAAAUUUUCAGGUUUGCGUCCAUGUGUGUGAUGUAAGUUUGGUAUUCUUCAGGUUUGGACGACACUUCGUUGAGCCUAGGUAACAAGAACAACAUUAGGUAGAAAAUUAUUGUGCGGCGUCAAAAGUUUUCUAUCUCGUUGAAAUGGAUUUGUUUAGCCAUGGUAGCUAUAGCAAUGAAAUGAAGUGGAAAUGUGGGAUAGUUUUUUCAACUUGCAGAUUUAUCCUACUUAUAUAGUGGAGUCAGGAGUGUGAGCACAUUGGAAUCCAAAAUAUGUGUAUAUAUAAAUACAUAUUUGUGGAGACCCUUUAGGAUUUAUGCUAAUGAUUUUGACUGCUAACAUAUUUUUAUUUGAUUUUCCUCUCAAUAAGUUUAUCAUUUAAUGACCUUAAAUAUGAAAUUGAUCCUAAAUUUGGUAAAGUUCUGUGUUCUACGCAACGCAUUCUGACCAUGCUAAAUUUAUUUUGCUACAACAUACAAGUCUAGAGACUUUCCUUUUCCCUUUUUGAUAUUGUAGUAAUGGUUUCCACUUUCCCUUUUUGAUAUCAUAUCAAUAAUAUCAUAAUGUUUAUUUUAUAAUAUAUUUUAGAUUUAUAAUAUCGAGUUCCCUCCAUGCUUCUACAGAUCAGCACAAAACCUGCACAAGAAAUUGUCAAGGCAAAAGAGGUCGCUGGAAAACCUGCACAGAACCUGCAUGGAGGGAACGUAUGAGAAUAUGAUGAGUCAGCAUCUGCUUCUAAAGUUGUCAAUGUGUCUGUCAGUAUCAUAUAGGACCACCUUUCCAGCAACCUCUUUUGGAUCCAGCACUGAACCUCUGCAUAUUGGUUUGUUUAUCUUGUUUUUCCAUAAUAUAUAGGUGAAUUGGUGAUGUAAAUGCUCUCUGAAAAGUAUGACAUUCCUUCCACAGUUUCCCCAUUUCCCAGUUGCAACGUUGACACAAAUUCCCGAUCAAUAGUGCCAGCUCCUACUGUUGUAAUCCAUGGUGCUCCAUUGACUAUUGAGUAAGCAUCUGGUCCAAAAUUUCCAGCAACACAGAUGACGGAAAUCCCCCUCUGUCGCUGAAAGUGCUGCAAUGGCUAUGAAAUCCUUGAAAUAAGGUGCCUGUCCAAGGCCCAAAGACAAGGACAAGAUAUCUAGCCCCGUCCACAAUUGAUUGGUCCAUGGCAACCAGUAAGUCGCUCGCAACAAUGUUGCGAAGUGUGUCUGCCCAGCCAACCUUGUACAUGGCAAUACGUGCUCUAGGUGCCACCCCUUUGGUUGUCCCACUGGCGUAACCAAAAUGACUCGCACCGUGUACAUAAUUACCUGCAGCUAUAGAUGAUGUGUGAGUUCCAUGUCCAGAGAAAUCUCGUGCUGAUUCGAAGUCACGGUCCUUGGAGAUUCUUCCACCUGCAGCCACAAGUCCUUUGCUAAAAGAUCGAGCUCCAAUCAACUUCCUGUUGCAGAGAGAAUGGGUAAAAGUUGUACCAUUCUCACACGUCCCUUUCCAUCUCGCUGGAACUGGUGACAUCCCUUGUCCCUAAAGCUCUCACUUUCUGGCCAUAUUCCUGUGUCGACCCUAGGAUCACGUUUUUGCCGUAAGAUACAGUAGGCCAUAUGCUAGCGGUAUGACUUAGGCGAAGAAACUUAGGCGAGUGGGUUGUGAAGAGCUUCCCGAAUGACUCUUCAUAUGUCGCCAAAUUAGAAGGGAGCUUUUCCAGCGGAGAUAGUGAGAUAGCGUGAGCCGUGCUCUAAACCCAUGCAUGGCAUGGCUGUAUGAGUAGACCAACUUCUCUUUGUCAUCCGAGCGAUAUGGUGGCAACGACUGUAGGAUGUUUUGGUUCUAUAACUCUUCAGUUGUAAAAAUUUCUGGUUUGUGUCCAUGUGUAUGAUGUAAGUUUGGUAUUCUUCAGGUUUGGACGACACUUUGUUGAGACCAGGUAACAAGAAAAACACUAGGUAGAAAAUUAUUGUGCGGCGUCAAAAGUUUCAUAUCUCGUUGAAAUGGAUUUGUUUAGCCAUGGUAGCUAUAGCAAGAAAUGAAGUGGGAAUGUGGGAUAGUUUUUUCAACUUGCAAAUUUAUCCUACUUAUAUAGUGGAGUCAGGAGUGUGAGCACAUUGGAAUCGAAAAUAUGUGUAUAUAUAAAUACAUAUUUGUGGAGACCCUUUAGGAUUUAUGCUAAUGAUUUUGACUGCUAACAAAUUUUUAUUUGAUUUUCCUCUCAAUAAGUUUGUCAUUUAAUGACCUUAAAUAGGAAAUCGAUCCUAAAUUUGGUAUUGUUCUGUGUUCUACGCAUUCUGACCAUGCUAAAUUUAUUUUGCUACAACAUACAAGUCUAGAGACUUUCCCUUUCCCUUUUUUGAUAUUAUAGUAAUGGUUUCCACUUUCCCUUUUUGAUAUCAUAUCAAUAACAUCAUAAUGUUUAUUUUAUAAUAUAUUUUAGAUUUAUAAUAUCGAUUUCCCUUCAUGCUUCUGCAGAUCAACACAAAACCUGCACAAGAAAUUGUCAAGGCAAAAGAGGUUGCUGGAAAACCUGCACAAAACCUGCAUGGAGGGAAUGUAUGAGAAUAUGAUGAGUCAGCAUCUGCUUCUAAAGUUGCCAAUGUGUCCGUCAGUAAUAUUCCGACAUAUGCCCUGCCAAUUUCAUCGAUCUGCUGGUCAAUAUCAAGAGUAGUGCUAGUAUCACAUAGGACCACCUUUCCAGCAACCUCUUUUGGAUCUAGCGCUGAACCUCUACAUAUUAAUUUGUUUACAUUGCUUUUCCCAUAAUAUAGAGGUGAAUUGGUGAUGUAAAUGCUCUCUGAAAAGUAUGAUAUUCCUUCCACAGUUUCCCCAUUUCCCAAUUACAGCGUUGCCAUAAAUUCCCGAUCAAUAGUGCCAGCUCCUACUGUUGUAAUCCAUGGUGCUCGAUUGACUAUUGGGAAGCAUCUGGUCCAAAAAUUCCAGCAGCACAGAUGACGAAAAUCCCCAUCUCUGUCGCUGAAAGUGCUGCAAUGGGUAUGACAUCCUUGAAAUAAGGUGCCGGUCCAAGUCCCAAAGACAAGGACAAGAUAUCUACCCCGUCCACAAUUGAUUGUUCCAUGGCAGAAAGUAAGUCGCUCGCAGCAAUGUUGCGAAGUGCGUCUGCCCAGCCAACCUUGUACAUAGCAAUACGUGCUUUUGGUGCCACCCCAUUGGCUGUCCCACUGGCGUAACCAAAAUGACUCGCACUGUGUACAUAAUUACCUCCAACUGUAGAUGAUGUAUGAGUUCCAUGGCCAGAGAAAUCUCGUGCUGAUUCGAAGUCACGAUCCUUGGAGAUUCUUCCACCUGCAACCACAAGUCCUUUGCUAAAAGAUCGAGCUCCAAUCAGCUUCAUGUUGCAGAUAGAAUGGGUAAAAGUUGUACCAUUCUUACACGUCCCUUUCCAUCUCGCUGGAACAAGUGACAUCCCCUUGUCCCUAAAGCUCUCAUUUUUUGGCCAUAUUCUUUUGUCGACUAACCCUAUGAUCACGUUUUUGCCGUAAGAUGCAGUAGGCCAAAUGCCAACGGUAUGACUUAGGCCAAGAAACUUAGGCGACGAGUGGAUUGUGUAGAGCUUCCCGAAGGACUCUUCAUAUGUCGCCAAAUAAGAAGGGAGCUUCUCCAGCUGAGAUAGUUGAGAUGGCGUGAGCCGUGCACUAAACCCAUGCAUGGCAUGGCUGUAUGAGUAGAGUAACUUCUUUUUGUCAUCGGAGCGAUAUGGCGGCAACGACUGUAGGAUGAUUUGGUGCCAUAACUCUUCUGUUAUAAAACUUUCUGGUUUGUGGGAAUGGUCAAUAUGUAUGAUGUAAGUUUGGUAUUCUUCAGGUUUGGACGACACUUUGUUGAGCCCAGGUAACAAGAACAACACUAGGUAGAAAAUUAUUGUGUGGCGUAAAGAGUUUCUUAUCUCGUUGAAAUGGAUUUGUUUAGCCAUGGUAGCUAUAGCAAUGAAAUGAAGUGGGAAUGUAGGAUAGUUUUUUCAACUUGCAGAUUUAUCCUACUUAUAUAGUGGAUUCAGGAGUGUGAGCACAUUGGAAUCCAAAAUAUGUGUAUAUAUAAAUACAUAUUUGUGGAGACCCUUUAGGAUUUAUGCUAAUGAUUUUGACUGCUAACAUAUUUUUAUUUGAUUUUCCUCUCAAUAAGUUUGUCAUUUAAUGACCUUAAAUAUGAAAUCGAUCCUAAAUUUGGUAUUGUUCUGUGUUCUACGUAUUCUGACCAUGCUAAAUUUAUUUUGCUACAGCAUACAAGUCUAGAGACUUUCCCUUUCCCUUUUUUGAUAUUAUAGUAAAGGUUUCCACUUUCCCUUUUUGAUAUCAUAUCAAUAACAUCAUAAUGUUUAUUUUAUAAUAUAUUUUAGAUUUAUAAUAUCGAGUUCCCUCCAUGCUUCUGCAGAUCAGCACAAAACCUGCACAAGAAAUUGUCAAGGAUAAAGAGGUUGCUGGAAAACCAGCACAAAACCUGCAUGGAGGGAAUGUAUAAGAAUAUGAUGAGUCAGUAUCUGCUUCUAAAGUUGCCAAUGUGUCCGUCAGUAAUAUUCCGGCACAUGCACGGCAAUUUCAUUGAUCUGCUGGUCAAUAUCAAGGGUAGUGCUAGUAACACAUAGGACCACCUUUCCAGCAACCUCUUUUUGAUCCAGCGCUGAACUUCUGCAUAUUGAUUUGUUUACCUUGCUUUUACCAUAAUAUAGAGGUGAAUUGGUGAUGUAAAUGCUCUCUAGAAAGUAUGAUAUUCCUUCCACAGUUUCCCCAUUUCCCAGUUGCAGCGUUGACACAAAUUCCCGAUCAAUAGUGCCAGCUCCUACUGUUGUAAUCCAUGGUGCUCCAUUGACUAUUGAGUAAGCAUCUGGUCCAAAAUUUCAAGCAGCACAGAUGACGGAAAUCCCCCUCUCUGUCGCUGAAAGUGCUGCAAUGGCUAGGACAUCCUUGAAAUAAGGUGUCGGGCUAAGGCCCAAAGACAAGGACAAGAUAUCUACCCCGUCCACAAUUGAUUAGUUCAUGGCAGCCAGUAAGUCGCUCGCAGCAAUGUUGCGAAAUGUGUCUGCCCAGCCAACCUUGUACAUGGCAAUACGUGCUCUUGGUGCCACCACUUUGGCUGCCCCACUGGUGUAACCAUAAUGACUCGCACCGUGUACAUAAUUACCUGCAACUGUAGAUGAUGUGUGAGUUCCAUGUCCAGAGAAAUCUCAUGCUGAUUCGAAGUCAGGCCCUUGAAGAUUCUUCCACCUGCAUCCACAAGUACUUUGCUAAAAGAUCGAACUCCAAUCAGCUUCCUGUUGUAGAGAGAAUGGGUAAAAGUUGUACCAUUCUUACUCGUCCCUUUUCAUCUAACUGGAACCGGUGACAUCCCCUUGUCCUUAAAGCUCUCACUUUCAGGCCAUAUUUUUGUGUCAACCCUAUGAUCACGUUUUUGCCGUAAAAUAUAGUAGGUCAUAUGCCAGCGGUAUGACUUAGGCCAAGAAACUUAGGCGAGUGGGUUGCGAAGAGCUUCCCGAAGGACUCUUAAUAUGUCGCUAAAUGAGAAGGGAGCUUCUUCUGCUGAGAUAGUUUAGACGGCGUGAGUUGUGCACUAAACCCAUGCAUGGCAUGGCUGUAUGAGUAGAACAACUUCUCUUUGUCAUCAGAGCGAUAUGGUGGCAACGACUGUAGGAUGUUUUGGUGCCAUAACUCUUCAGUUGAAAAAAUUUCUGGUAUGUGGGAAUGGUCCAUGUGUAUGAUGUAAGUUUGGUAUUCUUCAGGUUUGGACGACACUUUGUUGAGCCUAGGUAACAAGAACAACACUAGGUAGAAAAUUAUUGUGCGGCGUAAAAAUUUCCUAUCAUGUUGAAAUGGAUUUGUUUAGCCAUGGUAGCUAUAACAAUGAAAUGAAAUGAAAUGAAAUUUCCUAUCUCGUUGAAAUCCCCCUCUCUGUCGCGAAAAGUGCUGCAAUGACUAUGACAUCCUUGAAAUAAGGUGCCUGUCCAAGGCCCAAAAACAAGGACAAGAUAUAUACCCCGUCCACAAUUGAUUGGUCCAUGGCAGCCAGUAAGUCGCUCGCAGCAAUGUUGCGAAGUGUGUCUGCCCAGCCAACCUUGUACAUGGCAACACGUGUUCUUGGUGCCACCCCUUUGAUUGUCGCACUGACGUAACCAAAAUGACUCGCACCGUGUACAUAAUUACCUACAGCUAUAGAUAAUGUGUGAGUUCCAUGUCCAGAGAAAUCUCGUGCUGAUUCGAAGUCACGGUUCUUGGAGAUUCUUCCACCUGCAGCCACAAGUCCGUUGCUAAAAGAUCGAGCUCAAAUCAGCUUCAUGUUGCAAAGAGAAUGGGUAAAAGCUGUACCAUUCUCACAUGUCCCUUUCCAUCUCGCUGGAACCAGUGACAUCCCCUUGUCCCUAAAGCUAUCACUUUCUGGCCAUAUUCUUGUGUCGACUAACCCUAUGAUCACGUUUUUGCUGUAAGAUGCAGUAGGCCAAAUGCCAACGGUAUGACUUAGGCCAACAGACUUAGGCGACGAGUGGGUUGUGAAGUGCUUCCCGAAGGACUCUUCAUAUGUCUCCAAAUGAGAAGGGAGCUUCUCCAGCUGAGAUAGUUGAGACGGCGUGAGCCGUGCUCUAAACCCAUGCAUGGCAUUGGCUGUAUGAGUAGACCAACUUCUCUUUGUCAUCGGAGCGAUAUGGUGGCAACGACUGUAGGAUGUUUUGAUGCCAUAACUCUUCAGUUUUAAAAUUUUCUGGUGUGUGUCCAUGUGUAUGAUGUAAGUUUGGUAUUCUUCAGGUUUGGACGACACUUUGUUGAGCCCAGGUAACAAGAACAACAUUAGGUAGAAAAUUAUUGUGCGGCGUCAAAAGUUUCCUAUCUCGUUGAAAUGGAUUUGUUUAGCCAUGGUAGCUAUAGCAAUGAAAUGAAGUGGGAAUGUGGGAUAGUUUUUUCAACUUGCAAAUUUAUCUUACUUAUAUAGUGGAGUCAGAAGUGUGAGCACAUUGGAAUCCAAAAUAUGUGUAUAUAUAAAUACAUAUUUGUGGGGACCCUUUAGGAUUUAUGCUAAUGAUUUUGACUGCUAACAUAUUUUUAUUUGAUUUUCCUCUCAAUAAGUUUAUCAUUUAAUGACUUUAAAUAUGAAAUCGAUCCUAAAUUUGGUAAUGUUCUGUGUUCUACGCAUUCUGACCAUGCUAAAUUUAUUUUGCUACAGCAUACAAGUCUAGAGACUUUCCCUUUCCCUUUUUGAUAUUAUAGUAAUGGUUUCCACUUUCCCUUUUUGAUAUCAUAUCAAUAACAUCAUAAUGUUUAUUUUAUAAUAUAUUUUAGAUUUAUAAUAUCGAGUUCCCUCCAUGCUUCUGCAGAUCAGCACAAAACCUGCCCAAGAAAUUGUCAAGGCAAAAGAGGUUGCUGGAAAACCUGCACAGAACCUACAUGGAGGGAACGUAUGAGAAUAUGAUGAGUCAGCAUCUGCUUCUAAAGUUGUCAAUGUGUGUGUCAGUAAUAUUCCGGCAUAUGCCCUGACAAUUUCAUCGAUCUGCUGGUCAAUAUCAAGAGUAGUGCUAGUAUCACAUAGGACCACCUUUCCAGCAACCUCUUUUGGAUCUAGCGCUAAACCUCUACAUAUUGAUUUGUUUACAUUGCUUUUCCCAUAAUAUAGAGGUGAAUUGGUCAUGUAAAUGCUCUCUAAAAAGUAUGAUAUUCCUUCCAAAGUUUCCCCAUUUCACAGUUGCAGCGUUGCCACAAAUUCCCGAUCAAUAGUGUCAGCUCCUACUGUUGUAAUCCAUGGUGCUCCAUUGACUAUUGAGAAGCAUCUGGUCCAAAAUUUCCAACAGCACAGAUGACGGAAAUCCCUCUCUCUUUGUCGCUGAAAGUGCUGCAAUGGCUAUGACAUCCUUGAAAUAAGGUGUCGGCCCAAGGCCCAAAGACAAGGACAAGAUAUCUACCCCGUCCACAAUUGAUUGGUCCAUGGCAGCAAGUAAGUCGCUCGCAGCAAUUUUGCGAAGUGCGUCUGCCCAGCCAACCUUGUACAUGGCAAUACGUGCUCUUGGUACCACCCCUUUGGUUGUCCCACUGCCGUAACCAAAAUGACUUGCACCGUGUACAUAAUUACCUCCAGCUGUAGAUAAUGUGUGAGUUCCAUGUCCAGAGAAAUCUCGUGCUGAUUCGAAGUCACGGUCCUUGGAGAUUCUUCCACCUGCAACCACAAGUCCUUUGCCAAAAGAUCGAGCUCCACUCAGCUUCAUGUUGCAGAUAGAAUGGGUAAAAGUUGUACCAUUCUCACACGUCCCUUUCCAUCUCGCUGGAACUAGUGACAUCCCCUUGUCCCUAAAGCUCUCACUUUCUGGCCAUAUUCUUGUGUCGACUUACCCUAUGAUCACGUUUUUGCCGUAAGAUGCAGUAGGCCAAAUGCCAAUGGUAUGACUUGGGCCAAGAAACCUAGGCGACGAGUGAGUUGUGAAGAGCUUCCCGAAGGACUCUUCAUAUGUCGCUAAAUGAGAAGGGAGCUUCUCCAGCUGAGAUAGUUGAGAUGGCGUGAGCCGUGUACUAAACACAUGCAUGACAUGGCUGUAUGAGUAGAGUAACUUCUCUUCGGUAUUCUUCAGGUUUGGACGACACUUUGUUGAGCCCAGGUAACAAGAACAACACUAAGUAGAAAAGUAUUGUGUGGCAUAAAGAGUUUCCUAUCUCAUUGAAAUGGAUUUGUUUAGCCAUGGUAGCUAUAGCAAUGAAAUGAAGUGGGAAUGUAGGAUAGUUUUUUCAACUUGCAGAUUUAUCCUACAUAUAGUGGAGUCAAGAGUGUGAGCACAUUGGAAUCCAAUAUAUGUGUAUAUAUAUAUAUAUAUAUAUAUAUAUAUAUAUAUAUAUAUAUAUAUAUAUUUGUGGAGACCCUUUAGGAUUUAUGCUCAUGAUUUUGAAUUCUAACAGAUUUUUAUUUGAUUUUCCUCUCAAUAAGUUUGUCAUUUAAUGACCUUAAAUAUGAAACCGAUCCUAAAUUUGGUAUUUUUCUGUGUUCUACGUAUUCUGACCAUGCUAAAUUUAUUUUGCUACAGCAUACAAGUCUAGAGACUUUCCCUUUCCGUUUUUGAUAUUAUAGUGGCUAAUGGUUUCCACUUACCCUUUUUGAUAUCAUAUCAAUAACAUCAUAAUGUUUAUUUUAUAAUAUAUUUUAGAUUUAUAAUAUCGAGUUUAAUCUUUUAUAUUCAAUUUGACAUACUUUUAAAUUUAAAAUUAAUAUGAUAUGAUAUUAUUACAUUUUAGUUAAUACUACUAUGACUAUUAAUAAAAACUUAUCUAAAAAAUAAUACUCUUGAAUACCAAACUUAUAUUGAAUUAAUUUUGAUUUUUUUAAAAGCUAAUUCUAUAUAUUAUAAAUUUAAAUUAAUAUAAAUUAAUUUAAUUUUAGGCAUUACAAUUAUGUAAAGACCAAUAGAGUCAUGGGAGUUGUAGGACAUCAAUUUUUUGUCUUUUACAAUUUUUUCUGGUUACUUGGUGGUGGUAAAAGAGUUGUAAACUAUUUAAAACUUACUAUUACUAUUUAGUUAUAUAAAAUUAAAUAAAUUACAUCAAUUUUGAGUUUUUAAAGGCCAUAUUGACUGUUAAAAUUUUAACUUGACUUUAUAUUUGGCACAAAUUAAGGGAGUAUAAAGUAGGCCUCCACAUGAAAGUGAAUUUCAUUAACAUACUUCUUCACACCAGGAAAUAGGAAUGAAAGUCAUAUAUAUAUAUAUAUAUAUAUAUAUAGGGUAUCCAUCCACAGUAACCGGUUGUUGGGGAGCAACCCAUUUUGGCCCAGCCGCUACAACCUGUAGCGGCUUGUGCUGUGGAUGGAAUAUAUAUAUAUAUAUAUAUAUAUAUAUAUAUAUAUAUAUAUAUCCAGUGAUAUUUUAUAUUUAUGUAUAUAUGUAUAUAUCCAGUGAUAUUUAUUACUAUUUGUGGGGACCCUUUAGGAUUUAUGCUCAUGAUUUUGACUGCUAACAAAUUUUUAUAUGAUUUUCCUGUCAAUAAGUUUGACAUUUAUCUGCAUAAUUCUACAACUAACAUCCACUUUAAUGACCUUAAUUAUGAAAUCGAAUUAAAUAAAUAGGAAUGGGUACAUCAAAAGUAGUACAUUAGGAGGCAUUAUGGCAUAUCUAAAUUUGGUAUUUAAUUUGUGUUUUAAGUAUCCUGACCAUGCUAAAUUUAUUUUGCUACAGAAUACAAGUCUGCAACAAGUCUACAUAUUUUAAUGGUAAGCAUAUAUAUCCCAAAUUAAUUAGAAUACUAUUAACAGGUUUUUUUCUUAAAUAAAGAGGAACACUAUUUUCACAUGUAAUUUUGAUAUUUCCACAUGGUUUUCUCUUACGAGAGAGUAGGGUGGGUCCCACUUUUAUGUGAGAGGAAAUGUAAAAAUAUCAUAAUUACAUGUGAAAAUAUCAUUUCCCCUAUAAAUUUGUAUAUUUUUGUGGACAUUUUUUUCUUUGUAGUACAAAAUUUUCUUGAUUGGAAUAAUUUUGGUGUUGGUGGGCACUGGGCAGGGCCAUCACUUACUAAAUAGGCUUACAAUUGAUAUCUUUUUGCAGGGUUAUUUUUAUCAGCAUAUACUAUAUUUGGAUCAAUUAAUUAGGUAUAUGUCACAGUGAUAUUUUUCUCAGUAUACUAUUUUUGCAUCAAUUAAUUAGGUACCUAUCUUGGUAAACAUAUUACAAAUAUGGGCAUCAUGUUAGAGACAAUAGAAAUGUAAAAUAAUAAUAAAAUAAAAGUAUUAAAUUUUUUAAAUAUAUAUACAAGUUUGUAAUACAAAUUUCACAUCAGGAGGCCAACAUCGGAGCAACUAAAUAACCAAGGUCCCCAACAGUUUUAAAGUUCAUUUACAUUAAAAAUAAUUUAAAAAUAUUAAAUAUAAUAAAAAGAUUCAUCAUAAACUAAGUCUAUUUAAAUAAAUGUGUUAGCAAUAUGGUAUAAUAACAUCGGCUUGGCUUAUAGCACCAACUUUGUUUAAUUUUAUAUGUUAAAAGUAUUGAAGACCUGAAAUUUAUAUAUUAAAUAGGUUUAACAAACUCAACCCGAACCUCAACCCGAACCUCGAGCCUUAUUUUUGAUACAUGGGCAUCAAAUGCUAGGCCCAAUCUGAACCUAAGAAAUUUUAUAUGGGUUCACCACUAAUGCCCACAACCAGCCCAAAUUGCACCCUUGGUUGAGCACGACGACCCAGCAAGUCAAACAGUUAUCACAUAACACAUAAUUCACAUUUCAACAUACCUUACAUUAUAUACAUGCUUACAUUUUAUACAUGCUUUAUAAUAUUCAUGCUUUGUAUUUCUCAAUUUAAAUAGUUCACAUUGAACAAUCAACUUAAAUCAUCAACUGAAUAUUAACAAUUAUUAUUGCACAGAAUGCACAAAAAAACAUAUUCACAUGAAUAUCACAUAAUACUAAUAAUUCGCAUGUAACACAUAACAGCAAGAUCUGAAAAACUUACAUUGGUUUGCGUUUAUAACUAUACGUUCAUCAAUAGUUUAUUGCGUAACUUAUUUCAUUGUUUAGCAACAUUCGUUCAUUUUUACGUACUCGAAGCGAUAAUAUCUCAUAUUGCACCUAUAUAACACACAGAAUACAUUCACAAUGUUUCAAUCUUAUUAGCACAUUGUUUACAAAAAAAAAAUUCAAGGUUUUCUUAAUAAGGCCAUCAUUUUUUUUAGGCCAUCCAUCACGGGGAUUUUUUUUAGGCCAUCCAUCACGGGGAUUUUCACACUGCACUCCCAUUGAUUUUUCUUAAAUGUCCUCUAUUUUUUUUGACACUUUUUCUUUGCCUUGUCCGACAAAGAAGAGACUCGGGAGAGUUAUCAAACAUAUUCUCAUUCGCAAUUAUCUAUUUCUCUGUGCUUGCAUCAAUUAAUAUGUUUAUGGAUAUUUAUUCAACAGAUAUUGCUUCUUCUUUUUUUGAAACAUUUUAUAUUUUUUUAGCUAUUAUGGAUGGUCAGUACCAAAACUUAAAAUUUCAUUACUCAUUAAAAGCUUAGUUAUGCUAAACUCCAUUGCAAGGAACUGUCAUCUAUUAUGGUGCUGUUAGCAUAAGGCUAGAACAAGCCGGCCAAAUAUCCAUAUUUCAUCAUGAUUACUAGUAUUAAGUAAAGACUCUGAAAUAAUCCGGGUCAAAUCCUGAGUCCGGAACAAAUUUCGGAUCAAAUCUCAAGUCCGAAUCUAGUCAAAUCCAUCAAAAUAAGGUCUCAAACCACUGACCCAAUAGUAUCUUCUUGGGUCAUCUUAGCCCACCACAAGCUCGCCCAAAAGGUCAUGAUUUGAAGGUACUAUUGGUAGUAACUUAUUUCCUUAUAUGCAGAUAAAUUUUUCCCCUAUCUUUCGAUAUGGGACUGGAGUGUUACAAACUCCCCCACUUAAAUUUCUGAUGUCCCCGUCAGAACCGAUCAGAUGCACAUCCCAAAGAUAUUUGCCUCUCUAGCCAUUGUGGAAUAAUACCGGCUGGCUUCGUGUCCCCACCUCUGGACCUCCAUCUCUCCAUUGCGGGAUAAUACCACCAGCCUUUGUGUCUCCACCUCCGGCAACCCGAUCAGAUGACCUGGCCCGAGCUUUCGAGAGUCGACUCUGAUACCAUAUGAAACAACCCGUGUUAAAUCCCGAGUCAGAAAUAAAUUUCAGGUCCGAAUCAAAUCAAUCAAAAUAAGACCUCAAACCAUUGGCCCAAUAAUAUCUUCUUGGGGUCAUUUUAGUCCACCACAAGCUCACCCAAAAGGUCAUGACUUGAAGGUAUUAUUGGUAGUAACUUAUUUCUUUAUAUGUAGAUAAAUUUUUCCCCUAUCUUUCGAUGUGGGACUGGGGUGUUAGACCCCCUGCAGAUGACAUUUUAUAGGUGAAAGGAACAAUAGCCCACUUCAAAAAUUUCUAAUUUACAAUUCAUAUACUCAAUUGCAACCAAACUUUAACAUGCAAUAGACAUAUUAUUUUUUAAAACAAACAACUUAGCUAACUUGGACAUUUUACACAGGUUUUACAAGACCUCAAAACUGCCUUGUUGUGGCAAUUUUUUUUUAACAGAGCCCAACACCUUCAAUUCUUGCAAUUUUACUUUUAAACUUGUUUUCGCUUACCCAAACAACUUGAAUCACUUCAUAUAAUACAUAUAUAGGCUUCUUUGUUCACAAUAUUAACAAAUUUUCACUUUUAAAGCUUGAUAGCCUCUAAGAGGCAUAACAUCAAACAUGCUUUGUGCAUUAUUUUUAAGAAACAGAAUUCACAAGUGUUGGAGCAUGGAUUAGCCCAAAUUUCUCCAUCCUUAUAACUCCAUAAAGCAUAUAUCUCCAUCUUCAUAAAAUACUACAGCCAAACAUAUCAGUUAUAUUAAUAUUUACUAUUUACAUAUGUAUUUACUCAAUUUCGUAUAAAUAUAUAGAAAUACAUGAAUUACCUCCAUGAUUACUAUUCUUAUUUAAAUUCUUAUUAUCAGUUUGAUGUGUACUGAAUUCAAUCUUCUUUUGCCGAGAAUGAGCUUUAAUCUCUUCCCAAUUUAGCUUGGAUCUUCGAGCUAGAUUUUCCCCCACCCGUGACCCGACCAAGAGAAUUUGACGAAGGGUUGAAAGUAUAAAAGCUUAAUAAUAGAUAGAGAAGGAAUUUUUGGAACGGAUGGGCUGAUAUUGGAGAACUUAAAAUGACUUGAUUUAGUGGGUGGGUGUUUAGUAUAUUCAUAUUGUGCCACCUCCUUUAAAUAACUCAGCAACAAUAGUGGAGGUUAAAUUAGCAUGAUCAUGCCUUAUCCUGUAAUACAUAUAAAUAUUAAAUAUUACAUACACACUAAACCUUUCUAUUACACAUAUAUGCACGGUUCAAGAGCAUUACUCUUAAAGGGCAUUACUUUGUUAAAUAACAUACCUAUUUAAAUGCCAUUACUUUUAAUUUCUCUCUCACUCACUUGCCCAAGCUCUGAGACUUGCAACUCCAAAAAUUCCUCUCAAAUUCAAUACAAUCACUCCUUGCCCAAUUCCACCGCUCUGAAAUUCUCUCCUCCAAACUCAUCAUCCCCUUCACCGUACGGCCUCAUUUCUCGUAUCCCACCUCCGAUCUGAAACUCCUCCUCCAAACUCUCCAUCGACCCAUCUUCCCCGUUAGCAAACACGGCCAGAUCUUGAAAUAUCUCGGUAGACCCUUAACUAAAUUUUAAUUUCAUUAAGAAUUAACUAGAAUUCAAUUUCAUUUUGUGAUUCAAUUUGGGAAUUUUCGCAUUUGGGAAUUAAUCCUAAUUUAGUUUAUUUAUUUAUUUAAUUUUUUGUUUUUGUGGUGGACUGUGAACUACAUUACUACGAUGCUUGUUUAUGGGUUGAUUUUUUGGUUUAUCUAGUCGUUUGGUCACCUUUUUUUUAGAAUUAGAAUUUCUGGAGUAAUUGUGAAACAAUUCUCAGAAUGAAUUAGAAUGAUUAAAGUUGUUGUUUUAUGUCCUAAUAAUGCAUACUGUGUGUGAGAUGGUCAAUAAUUUUGCUAGUUACAGUGUCUGUAUUAAUUAUGUUUAUGUUCUUGUAUUUAUUAAAUUAUUCUUUUUCAUAGAACAGAGUUGUAACUUGUAAUUUCCUCAUACGGCUCAAUAGGUUGAAGAGUCAGUCUCCGUGGAGCCCACUACAGAUCGAUUCAAUGGGUGAACUCAGAUUCGAGUUAGGCCAGUACAACCCAUGCAAAUUCAUAUGGGAAAUUGUAGCCGCCAUUGUUUACCCCAAAAAGCUUUCCAAAAGCUUUCCAUUGUUGUUCUUCUUCUUCUCUGUGAUUUUACUAAAUUCCAUGAGUAAGUUGUCUUCAGAAAGAAAUUUAGGAGGAAGCCAAAACUCUCCGUCAUCCAAAUCCUCUGCCAUCUGAAGAAAUCACGGGAAGUAAAUAUAAACACAAAGAAUUAAAAAUAAAAUAUGAUAUACAGUUAAAAGUAAAAGCUUUGAUUACCAUGUGUGAUGGGGUAAUUGCUGCUUCUUUAAGGUUGAAUUAUAAUUAUUAUUAACCCCUACUACCUUUGCUUUAAUCAGGCCUAGGAAGAAGAUAGUGAUGAGGAGGAAGAGAAGAAGAACACAGUGGUGCAGAGAGUUGGUUUAAAGAUUUUAGAGUGAUGAGAGAGCAAAAUCGAGGGAGGCAGAGAGUGUAUAUAUAAAGUGUUUUCCUUAAAAGAGAAGGGAGGGAACCCUAGGUUGAUGAAUUUUUUAUGUCACGCUCCAUAAUUGAAUGUGAGAAAGGCGCCAUUUUUGCACUAUUUUUAUAAUUAUUUUGUGGAUGCACUAAUCUUGUAAUUACUUUUUAAUUAUUGUAUAGUAGUGUAAAGAACUCAUUUCAAAGUCA